GUGCAGCAUUGUACUGCAAGUCAAUCGAUACAAUAAUUUAAGUCACUUCAGCUAUAAUGGAAAAGUAUGAAAAAUUAGCUAAGACUGGAGAAGGGUCUUAUGGGGUUGUAUUCAAAUGCAGAAACAAAACCUCUGGACAAGUAGUAGCUGUUAAAAAAUUUGUGGAAUCUGAAGAUGAUCCUGUUGUUAAGAAAAUAGCACUAAGAGAAAUACGUAUGUUGAAGAGUUGCUGAUGGAGUGAUCAAAAGCGUAUUAUGGCAAACACUUCAAGCUCUUAAUUUCUGUCAUAUACAUAACUGUAUUCACAGAGAUAUAAAACCUGAAAAUAUUCUAAUAACUAAGCAAGGAAUAAUCAAGAUUUGUGACUUCGGGUUUGCACAAAUUCUGA
rnacentral:lncRNA from 1 species